ACCCUGGUGGAGCAAUGGUUAAGCUCUUGGUUGCUAACCUAAAGGUUGGUGGUUCGAAUCCACCCAGUGGGU
rfam:Loxodonta africana unplaced genomic scaffold scaffold_29, whole genome shotgun sequence.